AUUGCCUCCUUUGGAGCGUUUGGUGAGCUCUGAUCCUCAGAAAGGGGGCGAAGAUGACUGAGCAAAUCAUGAAGAGGUCUGGUGCCUCAGGUUGCUGUGGCUGCAAUUGUGGCCGUCUUGCUGUAUCCUGUAACUGCUUCCUCUGAGCCCUGUCUGUGAGAAGAAUCCAAAAUGAGCAACUUGAGUUUAAAAAUCUGUGGAUGUCUUUGGUUCUGGUGAAAAGACAGCAGCCUACACUGUCAGCUCUAAAGAAACAAGCCCAUUUCUCUGGAAGGCUCUCUGUUCUGCCUUGGCUGCUUUCAGUGCUGGUUUUAUGGGGCAUCAGCACUGAAGUAUUCCCUCUGCUGCCUGAGAGAAACUUGUGUCCCAGUUUGAGUGUCUUGAGUGAUUGGAGAUUUAGCUCUGAGCUAGAGAUGCUCACUGCCAUUGAAAACUACUUUUAAAUUAGUAGGGCCAUAAUCCAUGACAUGACUGUUAAUUUACCUAUUCCCAGAGGAACAGUGAACAUUCCAACUGUCACUGCAAACUGACCUUUGAGGCAUGAACAAAUAAGGAUUUAGAAAGUAAUUGGUGACAAAAUACUGGCAAUUUGUUAAUCUCUGUAGAAAAUAAAGAGGAUAGCAGAUAGGGCAGAGCACUCUGCUGCACUGAAUAUCACCUUGAGUAGAUGUUUGGGGGAAGCAGAUAAUGUCCUUUUAUCCUUGUUUUUCCUUCUCUUCCAAAUCUGUCAUUUUCAUUUUCCUUUUUUGGGGGGGGUUGUUAAAGACGUCUCUUGUUUUUGUCUGCUAAAAAAUUGAUGAAAGCCUAAUUGAGCAAGUUACUUACAUUUGUCCCCAGAUUUCAUCUCAGUUUCAGAGUGUUGAACACAAAAGAGUAUGUGCUCUAAAGAAGUACCGCAGCUUCAGCUCACUAGUCUACAAUAAAAUGCAUUUGUUGCUGGUAAAUUGCUUAUAAAAAGCUGAAGAAUGGUAACAUACUGAGUUCUCUGUUCAUCUCAGGGAUGCUAACGCACCUGAAUGCUCGUGGACACAGCCAUACUGGAGUUCUGCAAGUGCUGGUGUGCAGAGAGCAUCUAUAAAAGCUGACUUCCUUAGCAUAUCUUCUCGUGAGCUGACAGUGAAUGUCUGUCAUCUUGCUUCCAAGUCAUGGCAUCCAUGAAGGGAUGUUUGCACAGGUGAACUUUUUAAAUGAAAAGCUUAGCAAAAGUAGAGUGUGUGAAAAUCAUUUUAACUGCCUAUCUGUCCUCUCAAUCUUCUGACUGCAAAGGUAGCAGAUAAGUAUUCUGAUGAAGUUGAUGCUUGAGUAUAUGGCAACUUGAGUAUUUUUGAGAAGUGUUAAGCAGUCGUUUCAUCUGAAGCCUAUAGGGAGAGGUUAGGUAGGAGAUGGAAGGUUUCUAUGCUGUCAGAAUGUGCUCAGUGGUGCCAGGGGGCAGAUUCCCUGGGCACAAUGCCAUUCUGAGAUAGCAGCUAGCAUGGAUGGAAAGGAAGGGAAGGAGCUGCUGGAAAGGAGGAUGUACCCAAACAGUUCAUAUUGCACAUUAAUACUUCUGUCUUGCCAGAUAUUUGAGAUAUGUUGGAGGACUGGUAAUCCUUCGAGGGAGAUGAAGGGUGGUGUAUAUAGUAGGGGGUUGCAACUAGAUGGUCUUUAUGGUCCCUUCCAAAUCAAGCCAUUUUCUAAUUCUAUGAUGUGAUUCUAUGACUGAAAUCCAAUGAAGUAUGAGGAGCUGCCCUGACAGCUCUCUUAGUAAUACUUUAGAAUGGAAAUGUUAGUGCUGUGCUCUUUUUGGGUCAGAUAUAAGCUGUUGUUUCAGUCCCAAUUUGAAGUCUGCACGCCAUUUGAAGAAUGGGACUGCUAAAUUUUGGU